rnacentral:rRNA from 1 species
AUUCCGGUUGAUCCUGCCGGACCCGACCGCUAUCGGGGUAGGGCUAAGCCAUGGGAGUUGCACGCUCCCGGGUAAGGGAGCGUGGCGGACGGCUGAGUAACACGUGGCUAACCUACCCUCGGGAGGGGGAUAACCCCGGGAAACUGGGGAUAAUCCCCCAUAGGUGAAGGGUGCUGGAAUGCUCCUUCACUGAAAAGCCCUUGGGCUAUUUCCCGCUCAAGGGCGCCCGAGGAUGGGGCUGCGGCCCAUCAGGCUGUUGGGGAGGUAACGGCUCCCCAAACCUAUAACGGGUAGGGGCCCUGGGAGGGGGAGCCCCCAGUUGGGCACUGAGACAAGGGCCCAGGCCCUACGGGGUGCACCAGGCGCGAAACGUCCCCAAUGCGCGAAAGCGUGAGGGCGCUACCCCGAGUGCCUCCGAUAAGGAGGCUUUUCCCCGCUCUAAAAAGGCGGGGGAAUAAGCGGGGGGCAAGUCUGGUGUCAGCCGCCGCGGUAAUACCAGCCCCGCGAGUGGUCGGGGCGCUUAUUGGGCCUAAAGCGCCCGUAGCCGGCCUGCCAAGUCACCGUCUAAAGGCCCGGGCUUAACCCGGGAACUGGCGGUGAUACUGGCAGGCUAGGGGGCGGAAGAGGCCAGGGGUACUCCCGGAGUAGGGGCGAAAUCCGUAGAUCCCGGGAGGACCACCAGUGGCGAAAGCGCCUGGCUAGGACGCGCCUGACGGUGAGGGGCGAAAGCCGGGGCAGCAAACCGGAUUAGAUACCCGGGUAGUCCCGGCUGUAAACGAUGCGGGCUAGGUGUCGCAUGGGCUUAGAGCCCAUGCGGUGCCGCAGGGAAGCCGUUAAGCCCGCCGCCUGGGGAGUACGGCCGCAAGGCCGAAACUUAAAGGAAUUGGCGGGGGAGCACCACAAGGGGUGGAACCUGCGGCUCAAUUGGAGUCAACGCCUGGAAUCUCACCAGGGGAGACCGCAGGAUGACGGCCAGGCUAACGACCUUGCCUGACUCGCGGAGAGGAGGUGCAUGGCCGUCGCCAGCUCGUGUUGUGAAAUGUCCGGUUAAGUCCGGCAACGAGCGAGACCCCUACCCCUAGUUGGUACCUCCUCCUCCGGGGGGAGGCCACACUAGGGGGACUGCCGGCGU